rnacentral:lncRNA from 1 species
UGCACGCACAGUCUGAGGGUCAGAUCCCUCUACAAGACAGGUUUGGCACAUGUUUACUGCUCUAUGCAUUCCUCACAGCCUCCCAGUGCACUGCAAGCUCUGCCUGUGUGACCCCUCCCGCUGUGCUGAGCUCAUGGUCUUUGUUUCAGAACACCUCAACAAUAAAAUCUUGUCUCGGAAACGACAGUCUUGUCAGGAAACAACAGUGGAGCUGAUGGUGGUCACCCUGCUUGUUCACAAAGGUCUGACUAUGUGCCAUUUAUUUCUGACCUACUAAAGAACGCUGAGACCUCUGACAUGCCCACCAGACACAACACAUUCUGAGAACAUGGACGAACACAAUCAGGAAUAGCUUUUUCUAUUUAAUUGUCUUACACAUUUAGUUUACCUACUGGUGAUUUUGUAAACAUAUACUUUAAUGUCAAGAUUCAAAUUGAAACAUAAACAUUCUUUUCUUACAAAGAUUGUGGACUUAUUCUAUUUUCAAGGUGCCACAUCAGCCCCCCACCAGCCGUCCUGCCCCCUUCCCACAGCACAGGAGUCACAUCUGUUCACAGAAUAAAAGCUAAAGAAGCCCUGGCUUACCCAAAAUUACAUUUUCACUUUGCCCACUGGCUAAGAAAACAAAAAACCAAAACUGCACCUGCAUUCAGGGCUGUACGUGCAAAUGUAUCAUAACAGGAAAGGAACGAGCCAGUGGGCUUUCUUCCUAUCUAGCACAUCACCAGCAGACACCACCCACAGGAGCACAGGCUCGGCAACCCCCUGGCCCAGAGCCAGCUCCUCCCCACCCCAUCCUCGUGUUCUGCGCAGGGGACAUAGCAAAGAGAACCUCCCAGAACUGCCCUGGCAGGGCUGCGUGUGUCGUGGCGCACACCUUCCCUCCUCUGCGCCGCUUAGCAGUGCAUCCACACUGCAGUCAGCAGAGCGUGGGGUCACUCUAUGUAUGGGGUAAGGUCUGCAAAUAGCAAAGGGGCAUAAAAGAGAACG